rnacentral:rRNA from 1 species
UACGAAGGGGGCUAGCGUUGUUCGGAAUUACUGGGCGUAAAGCGCGCGCAGGCGGUUCUUCAAGUCAGUGGUGAAAGCCCGGAGCUCAACUCCGGAACUGCCAUUGAAACUGUGGAACUUGAGGAUGAGAGAGGUGAGUGGAAUUCCCAGUGUAGAGGUGAAAUUCGUAGAUAUUGGGAAGAACACCAGUGGCGAAGGCGACUUACUGGACACAUAUUGACGCUGAGGUGCGAAAGCGUGGGGAGCAAACAGG